CUUAAAUACCGGUUACCGUAUGGUCAUCAAAGUUAAGCAACGUUGAGCGUGGUUAGUACCUAGAUGUGUCAUCGCUUGGGAAUACCAGGUGCUGUAAG